GCCCGUUUCAACUGAAUGACCUCUGUUUUUUUCUGCUGACCAACCUUGUUGAUGUUGCUGGAUAACACCUUGUGAAUUUAGACUGCUUUUGGGGUUUUGAAGAUUGAAGAUACAAGUCAAGAUGCAAG